rnacentral:lncRNA from 1 species
UGCUGUCUAACCUGAUCUGUAUUAAUUUAUUACAGCUUAUUGCAAGAAAUGCAGGAUUAUUUUUUGUUAAGAAAUGCAGGAUUAUUUGAAGUUAACCCUGUAACAGGGAACCGGAAUAAGUGGCAUUCACUGCUUAUAAAAUGUCAAAAAAAAAUGCACUUUUUUGCAUCAUAGACCCUGAGUCUUGUCCCAGAUGGAGCCAUGCAUACUCUUCCAAGGAAAAUGGCUGUAAGCACUAAAAAAAUCAUCCCACAAGACAUGCAGAAAGUGAAGCAUCUGAACAGGCCCUGCUUGCACCAUCUCCUGCACUCCCUUGAAAAUAACCACACUUGAUAUCAUCUCAACACUGAAGCGUACAGCUACCAGCGCACGCUUCAACACCUCGCUCGCUGAAACUUGUGUGG